UUUCAAUCAGGUUGUUUCAGGUAAUCUUUUGCCGCAUAGUCUGCCCUAGCUGACGCUGUGCAGAGAAUACUACGAUUGGAAACGGUUGGUUAGACCCGUUCGCACUGCACAAGAAAGCAAGAUGGACCGUAGUGAUGAGAGAAUCAAAAGAGCUUUAAGGCGCCGCCCUUAUGUGUUGAAUCCAGUGAGGGUGAACACCCCUGAUUCUGUGAUGUGGCCAACCGGUAAGGUGCACAGAAGA